rnacentral:rRNA from 1 species
UACAACUCUGAGCGGUGGAUCACUUGGCCUGUGGACGCUAUGAAGACCAUAGCUAAAUGUGAGAACGGCAGCGAGUCGUUGCUAUAAGCGCUGUCCGCACUCUCUCAUAUGUCGAAUGCACAUUGCGCCCCACCAGCGUGGCCGAAGAUGGGACGGAUGAAAUCUGUGAGAUCGUCACAAACGCGAAGGUGUGGCCCCGCAAACAACGGCCGGGGAGCCAGGAGCACCCAAGUGUGCGUAACGUAUCUGUGUCAUAGUAAUCCGUUCGGCCCUGAAGGUGGGGCACUUCUAGUCGAGUGUGG